UUGAAUUUAAUGUAGAGUUGGUUGUAGCUGGCCUAAUUAAUAAUUUGGGCAUGUUGCACACCUUCUCUUUCAUCCACACACACCCUGUGCACCUGUGAGACAGAGUGGGAAUUUUAAUUUAAUUUAAUUGGACCCUCUGUCUACUUAAUUCACACAAAACUCUAUUUAUUAUAAAAUGAAUGUAAUUGAUGUAACGCAUCUAAUAC
rnacentral:misc_RNA from 1 species